AUUGAACGCUGGCGGCAGGCCUAACACAUGCAAGUCGAACGAGUGGCGGACGGGUGAGUAAUGUCUGGGAAACUGCCUGUUGGAGGGGGAUAACUACUGGAAACGGUAGCUAAUACCGCAUACCAUCAGAUGUGCCCAGAGGGGAUUAGCUUGUUGGUGGGGUAACGGCUCACCAAGGCGACGAUCCGUAGCGGGUUUGAGAGGACGACCAGCCACACUGGGACUGAGACACGGCCCAGACUCCUACGGGAGGCAGCAGUGGGGAAUUUUGGACAAUGGGGGAAUCCCUGAUCCAGCCAUCCCGCGUGUGCGAUGAAGGCCUUCGGGUUGUAAAGCACUUUUGGCAGGAAAGCGGUACCUGCAGAAUAAGCACCGGCUAACUACGUGCCAGCAGCCGCGGUAAUUC
rnacentral:rRNA from 1 species